GACUGAGGAAGAUCAUCAGUGGGCUAUAUGGGCCAUAUGCAGGGUAUUUUACCCAGCCCACAGGAAAGUCUGAGACUGGUUCCUCCUAUGGCCCUAAUUAGGCUCUUCCCCAAGUGGGGAGGUGAGUUCUCAGAGAGCAGGGAUCCACCGGUGGGCAGACUGGACAGAGAGGCCUGGUGUGGGCAUGCCCCUGUCGCCAGAGGUUGGAACAGACCCAUGGCCAGCACAGCCAGUUCAAAUUCAAUCGGAGUGAUUGAUUACCCCGUAACAUUCUUGCUACUAUUAUUCCAGGGGUC
rnacentral:RNase_P_RNA from 1 species